CGCUGGCGGCGUGCUUCAGGCAUGCAAGUCGAACGCCCCGAUUCGUCGGGGAGUGGCGGACGGGUGAGUAACACGUAAGCAACCUGCCCAGAAGCGGGGAAUAACCCAUCGAAAGGUGAGCUAAUACCGCAUAUGAUGGUCCUCCUGCGGGAGGGUCAUUAAAGGCUUCGGUCGCUUCUGGAGGGGCUUGCGCUCGAUUAGCUAGUUGGUGGGGUAAUGGCCUACCAAGGCAACGAUCGGUAGCUGGUCUGAGAGGACGGUCAGCCACACGGGGACUGAGAUACGGCCCCGACUCCUACGGGAGGCAGCAGCUAGGAAUCUUGGGAAUGGGCGAAAGCCUGACCCAGCAACGCCGCGUGGGCGAUGAAGGCCUUCGGGUCGUAAAGCCCUUUUGUGGGGGAAGAUGAUGACGGUACCCCACGAAUAAGUCACGGCUAACUACGUGCCAGCAGCCGCGGUAAUACGUAGGUGGCAAGCGUUGUCCGGAUUUACUGGGCGUAAAGGGCGUGCAGGCGGUUUGCUAAGUCUAGGGUGAAAGCUCCCGGCUCAACUGGGAGAGGUCCUUAGAUACUGGCAGACUUGAGGGAGGUAGAGGAAAGUGGAAUUCCCGGUGUAGUGGUGAUAUGCGUAGAUAUCGGGAGGAACACCAGUGGCGAAGGCGGCUUUCUGGGCCUUUCCUGACGCUGAGACGCGAAAGCGUGGGGAGCGAACCGGAUUAGAUACCCGGGUAGUCCACGCUGUAAACGAUGAACACUAGGUGUGGGGGGUAUCGACCCCCCCUGUGCCGCAGCUAACGCAUUAAGUGUCCCGCCUGGGGAGUACGGCCGCAAGGUUAAAACUCAAAGGAAUUGACGGGGGCCCGCACAAGCGGUGGAGCAUGUGGUUCAAUUCGACGCAACGCGAAGAACCUUACCUGGGCUAGACAACGGUGGACCGCUCUAGAAACAGAGUUUUCCUUUCGGGGACUGCCGGUUCAGGUGCUGCAUGGCUGUCGUCAGCUCGUGCCGUGAGGUGUUGGGUUAAGUCCCGCAACGAGCGCAACCCUUGUCCUUAGUUGCCACCAUUUAGUUGGGCACUCUAAGGAGACUGCCGGCGUCAAGCCGGAGGAAGGCGAGGACGACGUCAAGUCAUCAUGGCCCUUAUGCCCAGGGCUACACACGUGCUACAAUGGGCGGUACAAAGGGUUGCGAACCCGCGAGGGUAAGCUAAUCCCAAAAAGCCGUCCUCAGUUCGGAUUGGAGUCUGCAACUCGACUCCAUGAAGGUGGAAUCGCUAGUAAUCGCGGAUCAGCAUGCCGCGGUGAAUACGU
rnacentral:rRNA from 1 species